rnacentral:rRNA from 1 species
AUUGAACGCUGGCGGCAGGCCUAACACAUGCAAGUCGAACGAGUGGCGGACGGGUGAGUAAUGUGGGGGAAACUGCCUGAUGGAGGGGGAUAACUACUGGAAACGGUAGCUAAUACCGCAUAUCAUCGGAUGUGCCCAGAUGGGAUUAGCUAGUAGGUGGGGUAACGGCUCACCUAGGCGACGAUCCCUAGCUGGUCUGAGAGGGUGACCAGCCACACUGGAACUGAGACACGGUCCAGACUCCUACGGGAGGCAGCAGUAGGGAAUAUUGCGCAAUGGGCGAAAGCCUGAUGGAGCAAUGCCGCGUGUAUGAAGAAGGCCUUCGGGUUGUAAAGUUCUUUCAGCAGGGAGGCGUUACCCGCUGAAGAAGCACCGGCUAACUCCGUGCCAGCAGCCGCGGUAAUUC